rnacentral:sRNA from 1 species
GUCGAUGGCUGCUCUGGGGGUGGGCUCUGUCUCAGGACCUGGUGGUGACCACCUCGUUCUGCCCCCAGAUCCUGCGGGACACCUUCUCCGAGUCCUGUAUCCGGAUUUCCCAGGAUGAGCGGCGGAAAAUGAAAGACCUGCUGGGAGGCUUGGAGGUGGACCUGGAUUCUCUCACCACUACUGAAGACAGCGUCAAGAAGCGCAUCGUGGUGGCCGCUCGGGACAACUGGGCCAAUUACUUCUCCCGCUUCUUUCCUGUCUCGGGCGAGAGUGGCAGCGACGUGCAGCUGUUAGCCGUGUCCCACCGCGGGCUACGACUGCUCAAGGUGACCCAAGGCCCCGGCCUCCGCCCCGACCAACUGAAGAUUCUCUGCUCAUACAGGUGUGCUGGCUCACGACCCUGGGCUAGAGGUGGGGGCAGGUGGCAAGGUGACCCCAGCUCAUGCCCGAUCCCUGCGCAGCUUCGCGGAGGUGCUGGGCGUGGAGUGCCGGGGCAGCUCCACCCUGGAGCUGUCACUGAAGAGCGAGCAGCUGGUGCUGCACACAGCCCGGGCAAGGGCCAUCG